UCCACGGUAAUCAUUCCUCCGCAUUUUCUGCAGCAGAAUAGCCACGUUCUUGGUCCUCUUUUCUAACGCUGUUUAUUUGCAACAGGUACAAGCACAGGUAUCCUAAAACUUGGGGCAUUGCAGACCCAAUGAAUGUUUCAAGUCGUUUCACUACAGUAUGGUUACGAGCGGUAUUGCUGGGUGAGGAACGUUCUGCAAAUUUGGCAAACGUAUGCUGUCCUAUGACCACCACCAGCACAGUCAAACAAAACGAACACUUCCAUGAACUCCAAAAAUUGCCCCAAGCCGUUUUGUAGAUCAACCAUUCCCUGAUCCCUAGUCCCUGCCAACCAAUAAUCCGGUCUCUGUUCCUAGGUUUUGCCUUUUCCAGAAUGUCAAUUAAAUGUAACUACACAGUGUGAA